rnacentral:rRNA from 1 species
GACGAACGCUGGCGGCGUGCCUAAUACAUGCAAGUCGAACGCAGUGGGGACGGGUGAGUAACACGUGGGUAACCUCCCAUCAGAGGGGAUAACCCUUGGCAACAGGUGCUAAACCGAUACUGAUGGAUGGACCCGCGGUGCAUUCGAUAGUUGGUGAGGUCACGGCUCACCAAGGCCACGAUGCAUAGCCGACCUGAGAGGCGGAUCAGCCACACUGGUAUGUAGACACGGCCCAGACUCCGACGGGAGGCAGAAGUAGGGAAUCUUCGGCAAUAGACGAAAGUCUGACCGAGCAACGCCGCGUGAGUGAAGAAGGUUUUCGGAUCGUAAAACACUGUUGUUAGGGAAGCGGUAUCUAACCAGAAAGCCACGGCUAACUACGGGCCAGCAGCCGCGGUAAUUC